CUUGAGUUCAUUUCUCAAAAUUAUUAGAAAAACUCAUCAACAAUCAUGGAAGGUCGUACCGUUCUUUUCAUUUCACUGGUUCUUUGCUCUCUACUGGUUCAAAUAAAUUGUUCAAUCUCUUGAAAGACACGGCUUGGUCUAGUAGCAGCAUUGGCCUCCAAGCAAUAUCAUCGGAAGUUCAGGAUAAAUAACCUGAGUGCAUCGAGAUCGGGUGUGGAACAUGACCUAUCGGCACGCCAAGUGCCGAACCC